AAGUACAAUGUUCUCCUACCUAAGAAGGCAUCUGGAUUUUCUCUUUCCUUGGAAAUAGUAAAGAACUACUCUUUGACUGUUUUUGACCUCACAGUGAACCUCAAAUACACUGGAAUUCGCAAUAAAUCCAGUAUGGUGGUUAUAGAUGUAAAAAUGCUAUCAGGAUUUACUCCAACCAUGUCAUCCAUUGAAGAGCUUGAAAACAAGGGCCAAGUGAUGAAGACUGAAGUCAAGAAUGACCAUGUUCUUUUCUACUUGGAAAAUGUUUUUGGUCGAGCAGACAGUUUCACUUUUUCUGUUGAGCAGAGCAACCUUGUGUUCAACAUUCAGCCAGCCCCAGGCAUGGUCUACGAUUACUACGAAAAAGAUGGAGAAGCAUUUCUUUUAACAAACUGAUUCUUCUGUAUCAAACCUGGAAAAAAAUCAUGAACCAUCUGACAUCGUGAACAGUCUGCAGUGGGCUAUGGUUUCUUGACAAGUCUUAUUUCCUUAUCAUCCCAUUAAAUGUUGUCAUUUUGCA
rnacentral:misc_RNA from 1 species